ACCCACCCAUGCCACUCCCAACAUCCAAAUGGUUUCCAAAACUGCAGUCAGGCUAGUACAAAUGGGGCUUCUGUCACUUGAAACCAAAAGAGUCCUAAGAAUGUCACCUGACUCCCUUUCACUCACUGUGAGCUGUGGAAUACCUGUGACUGCUCUCCGUCAGCUUCUUGUUUACAGAAUCAAGAAAAGUUCUUGAAAGCUACCAUUUUGAAGAGAGAUGUGAAGGGAAGAGACUUUCACUUUCCGUUUGUCUAUAUUGUCUGAAUCUCAUAACCUGGUUGAGAAGGAUGCCCUAGAUUCCGCUGCCUUCCCUUGGUGACCCCAGCCCACAUAAUUACACAUCUUCUACUUCUAAGAAGGAGCCAGGACCCGCUGUGCCCCAUGUUAACAUGUAACAGCCAGGCCAGACCAUCUGGAGAGUUCCAGCACCAUCCAGAAGGAAUUUUUACUGGCGAGCCCAGUGGUUGUCAGAUGGGUCCUCGCUCCAGACUCCAUGCAGUUCACACAGGGAGUACCUGAGAACAUCAGAGCGCACCCCAUGGGAUGAGAGCUACACACAGUCUCUUCAUGAAAUAAAGCAAACAAGUAGCUCCACAACUUUUUGAAGCUCUAACAAGAUCUCUCUAGUGAAACACAAAAUACUUCAGAAGACUGAGUAGAAGACAAAAAUAUUCAUUCAUUCAUUC